AAACUACGAUUAGAUACCCUAUUAUUUUAGAAGUUAAUUUAGUUACUUAAGCAGUAGUAGUUAUAAUCUUUAAACUUAAAGGAUUUGACGGUAAUUUAAACUAGCUAGAGGAACUUGUCCCGUAAUCGAUAGUCCUCGUUAUACUUUACUUAAAUUUGUUUUCAGCUUAUAUACCGCCGUCAUAAAAUUAUAUUUAGAGGUUAUAAUUUUAAUUUAUGAUAAAAAUGUCAGGUCAAGGUGUAGUUUAUAUUUAAGAGGUGAUGAGUUACAUUAAGUUUACUUAAACGGAACAGGUAAAGAAUUUUAUUUUAGAAGGUGGAUUUAGUAGUAAUUUGUUAAAGAAGAGAACUUAUGAAUAUAGCUCUAAAUUAUGUACACAUC
rnacentral:rRNA from 1 species